rnacentral:rRNA from 1 species
GACGAACGCUGGCGGCGUGCUUAACACAUGCAAGUCGAACGAUGAUCCGGUGCUUGCACCGGGGAUUAGUGGCGAACGGGUGAGUAACACGUGAGUAACCUGCCCUGGACUCUGGGAUAACCCCGAGAAAUCGGAGCUAAUACCGGAUAGGACCUGGAACCGCAUGGUUUUGGGUGGAAAGUUUUUCGGUCUGGGAGGGA